GGGCGGGUGGCGGAACUGGUAUACGCGUAGGUCUCAAACACCUAUGGGAGUAAUCCCUUGAGGGUUCGAUCCCCUCCUCGCCCACCA
rnacentral:tRNA from 1 species